GAUGAACGCUGGCGGCGUGCCUAAUACAUGCAAGUCGAGCGAACAGAUGAGGAGCUUGCUCCUCUGACGUUAGCGGCGGACGGGUGAGUAACACGUGGAUAACCUACCUAUAAGACUGGGAUAACUUCGGGAAACCGGAGCUAAUACCGGAUAAUAUAUUGAACCGCAUGGUUCAAUAGUGAAAGACGGUUUUGCUGUCACUUAUAGAUGGAUCCGCGCCGCAUUAGCUAGUUGGUAAGGUAACGGCUUACCAAGGCAACGAUGCGUAGCCGACCUGAGAGGGGGAUCGGCGACACUGGAACUGAGAACCGGUCGAGAGUCCUACUGGAGGCAGCAGCAGGGAAGCUUCCGCAAUGGGCGAAAGCCUGACGGAGCAACGACGCGUGAGUGAGGAAGGUCUACGGAUAGUAAAACUCUGUUAUUAGGGAAGAACAAACGGGGAAGUAACAGGGCACGUCUUGACGGUACCUAAUCAGAAAGCCACGGCUAACUACGUG
rnacentral:rRNA from 1 species